rnacentral:rRNA from 1 species
AACGUAGGAGGCGAGCGUUGUUCGGAGUUACUGGGCGUAAAGGGUGUGUAGGCGGCUCUUUAAGUCUGGUGUGAAAUCUCCCGGCUCAACCGGGAGGGUGCGCCGAAAACUGAGGGGCUAGAGUGCGGGAGAGGAGAGUGGAAUUCCUGGUGUAGCGGUGAAAUGCGUAGAUAUCAGGAGGAACACCGGUGGUGUAGACGGCUCUCUGGACCGCAACUGACGCUGAGACACGAAAGCGUGGGUAG